UACGAAGGGGGCUAGCGUUGUUCGGAAUCACUGGGCGUAAAGGGCACGUAGGCGGAUUUUUAAGUCAGGGGUGAAAUCCCGAGGCUCAACCUCGGGACUGCCUUUGAUACUGGGGAUCUGGAGUCCGGGAGAGGUGAGCGGAACUGCGAGUGUAGAGGUGAAAUUCGUAGAUAUUCGCAAGAACACCAGUGGCGAAGGCGGCUCACUGGCCCGGAACUGACGCUGAGGUGCGAAAGCGUGGGGAGCAAACAGG
rnacentral:rRNA from 1 species